UACAGAGGGUGCUAGCGUUAAUCGGAUUUAUUGGGCGUAAAGGGCGUGUAGGCGGAUAGGUAAGUCAGAUGUGAAAUCCCGGGGCUCAACUCCGGAACAGCAUUUGAAACUGCCCUUCUAGAGGUUAGGCGGAGAAAAUGGAAUUCCACAAGUAGCGGUGAAAUGCGUAGAUAUGUGGAAGAACACCUGUGGCGAAAGCGGUUUUCUAGCUUACACCUGACGCUGAGGCGCGAAAGCUAGGGGAGCAAAC
rnacentral:rRNA from 1 species